rnacentral:rRNA from 1 species
AACCUCGAGUGCCAGGUUACAAAUCUGGCUGUCGGGAUGCCUAAAAAGCAUUUCAUAGCAAGGGCCGGGCAAGACCGGUGCCAGCCGCCGCGGUAACACCGGCGGCUCGAGUGGUAACCGUUAUUAUUGGGUCUAAAGGGUCUGUAGCCGGCCGGAUAAGUCUCUUGAGAAAUCUGGCAGCUUAACUGUCAGGCUUUCAGGAGAUACUGUCUGGCUCGAGGCCGGGAGAGGUGAGAGGUACUUCAGGGGUAGGGGUGAAAUCUUGUAAUCCUUGAAGGACCACCAGUGGCGAAGGCGUCUCACCAGAACGGACCUGACGGCAAGGGACGAAAGCUAGGGGCACGAACCGGAUUAGAUACCCGGGUAGUCCUAGCCGUAAACGAUACUCGCUAGGUGUCGGCCACGGUGCGACCGUUGUCGGUGCCGUAGGGAAGCCGUGAAGCGA